GGAUUCCCAGAGUAGCGGCGAGCGAAACGGGAACAGCCCAGCGCUGAAUCGCGCGGUCCGCGCGGGCCGCCGCGAAAUGUAGCGUUCGGGAGGGAGAUGUUAAUUCGUUAUCGCGCGGUCACCAGUCACGGCGUCCAGUCCAAGUCCAUCUUGAAGGGGGCCCCGCUUAUCCGUAGAGGGUGCCAGGCCCGUGGUGACGGACGCCGGCCGCGACGGUCUUCCUCCCCAGAGUCGGGUUGCUUGAGAGUGCAGCCCUAAGUUGGUGGUAAACUCCAUCUAAGGCUAAAUACGACCAUCGAGACCAUAGCGAACA
rnacentral:rRNA from 1 species